rnacentral:rRNA from 1 species
UGGGGAAUCUUGGACAAUGGGGGCAACCCUGAUCCAGCCAUGCCGCGUGAGUGAUGAAGGCCUUAGGGUCGUAAAGCUCUUUCGCCUGUGAAGAUAAUGACGGUAGCAGGUAAAGAAACCCCGGCUAACUCCGUGCCAGCAGCCGCGGUAAUACGGAGGGGGUUAGCGUUGUUCGGAAUUACUGGGCGUAAAGCGCACGUAGGCGGACCAGAAAGUUGGGGGUGAAAUCCCGGGGGCUCAACCCCGGAACUGCCUCCAAAACUAUUGGUCUAGAGUUCGAGAGAGGUGAGUGGAAUUCCAAGUGUAGAGGUGAAAUUCGUAGAUAUUAGGAAGAACACCAGUGGCGAAGGCGGCUCACUGGCUCGAUACUGACGCUGAGGUGCGAAAGUGUGGGGAGCAAACAGGAUUAGAUACCCUGGUAGUCCACA